AGUAAUCCUGCAAAACAAAUAUAUUCAAAAAUAUCUUAUAGUUUCAGUUGUGGCAUUCCUUAUGCAAAAUGUCCUGAAAGGGCAUUGAUUUGGAAGCUUUGGAUGAGUCAUAGACUUAGAAAAUUGGGACCUUUUCAGUAGGCCUCAGAUGUUUUUGCUUGAUCAAGCUUAAUCCGAGACAUGCAGUAUGGGCAUAUGAUAGCCAGAGGAGUAUCCACUGAUGUCAUUGGAGUCUUAUGCACAGAGGAUAUACCAGAGGACUGUAAACAAGAACUGAGAGGGGUAAGAAGGUUGCGCAGCACAAAGUGAGGUGUUAGAAAGAGUGAGUAACGGAGCACUGAAGUAGCUAAAUGAGAACUAACAAACUAAACUAAAACAAACAAAAGGAAGUUGUUCUUCAUGCAAGGAAGUUUAGACCUCUGGAACUUAUUGCCGAAAGAUAUUUUGGAUGCUAAAAGUUAACACAGCUACAAGAGGAAACUGGAAUAGUGUCUGAAAGAGGGUUACUAAAUGCUGACUGAGGAAGUCGUCUGAACUGAAGGUGUCCGGAGGCUGAAAUAGUACUUGGAGGAGGAAGCGGGAAGUAUCACAAGUACUACCCUGUUCUCACUCUUCCCUAGGCAUUUGCUUCUAGCCACUGUUGGGGACAGAUGCUGAACCAGUAGACCUAUGGUCUUAGAUAAUAAUGACUGUUCUUAUGAGUAUGGCUUAUUAAUAAAUUGUUAUUUUUCUAAACUACA
rnacentral:lncRNA from 1 species